GGCGGGGUGCCAGAGCGGACGAAUGGGGCGGUCUUGAAAACCGUUAUCGGGGAAACCCGGUCGAGGGUUCGAAUCCCUCCCCCGCCG
rnacentral:tRNA from 1 species